UCCCUGGAGGACUAGUGGUUAGGCCUGAGCGCUCUCACUGCUGUGGCCCGGGUUCGAUCCCUGGCUAGGGAA
rnacentral:tRNA from 1 species